UACGUAGGGGGCAAGCGUUGUCCGGAAUCAUUGGGCGUAAAGCGCGUGUAGGCGGCUCGGUAAGUCUGCUGUGAAAAGUCCCAGGGCUCAACCCUGGGAUGCCGGUGGAUACUGUCGAGCUCGAGUCCGGAAGAGGCGAGUGGAAUUCCUGGUGUAGCGGUGAAAAUGCGCAGAUAUCAGGAGGAACACCAAUGGCGAAG
rnacentral:rRNA from 1 species